rnacentral:lncRNA from 1 species
AAUCAUUCACAUCCUGAAGCAACAAAAUUCAUAAGCCUCAGCUCUCAAGCUCUUUUCAUACCAUUUUAUCCUCAAGUCUGAGCAAAUAUACAACACAACAAUGGGCUUUCGUUUACCUAGUAUCAGAAGGACAUCAUUCGCAACAAACCAACAUCUUCUAAGGGUAUGGAGGUGCCAAAGGGUUAUCUUGCAGUGUACGUUGGAGAGAAAAUGAAGCGAUUUGUGAUCCCCAUAUCAUACUUGAGCCAACCUUCAUUCCAAGAGAUGUUGAGUGAAACAGAGGAAGAGUUUGGAUAUGAUCAUUCCAUGGGUGGUCUUACGAUUCCUUGCAGUGAAGAUGUCUUCCGAAGCACAACUUCACACUUGAAUAGGCAUUAAGUUUUGUACUAUAGAAGUCUGACACAGAAUUGAAGAGCCAUUUUGUCAUAGGCAUCUUCUCAAUUUGUUAACAUAACUCCUUUUGAGUAAUAGGAAAAAUGCGAUUAUAGUAACAUUUUGUCCUCUUUUUAUUUGUUUAAUGAUGUUGAGUAUCCCUUCUUAUUUUAAUGAGGAUCAUGACCAAUGAAUCUUGCUAACUAAUCCAUUGAAUAUAUUAAAUGAUGGUCAUUUCAAAAGAAAUGUUCAUGCAAUGUUUCUAAAGUCUUAGUGGACCUAAAAUGUCCCAUAAGCCCACCCUCAUCAGCCUCUUUAACAAGAGAUUGUCUUAUAGAUCCUUGGGGCACACAAAGUCUUUUUCCUUGAAAAANNNNNNNNNNNNNNNNNNNNNNNNNNNNNNNNNNNNNNNNNNNNNNNNNNNNNNNNNNNNNNNNNNNNNNNNNNNNNNNNNNNNNNNNNNNNNNNNNNNNNNNNNNNNNNNNNNNNNNNNNNNNNNNNNNNNNNNNNNNNNNNNNNNNNNNNNNNNNNNNNNNNNNNNNNNNNNNNNNNNNNNNNNNNNNNNNNNNNNNNNNNNNNNNNNNNNNNNNNNNNNNNNNNNNNNNNNNNNNNNNNNNNNNNNNNNNNNNNNNNNNNNNNNNNNNNNNNNNNNNNNNNNNNNNNNNNNNNNNNNNNNNNNNNNNNNNNUUGAAAAAAAGAUAAUGUUGCCAAUUUUGCAAAGCUCGAACAAGAGCAUAAAGUUCUUUAUCAUAAGUGGAGUAAUUGAUAUGAUUCCCUUUGAGUUUCUCACUAAAAUAAGCUAUGGGGUGGCCCUCUUGAAGGAGGACAACCCUAAUGCCUAUAUUGGAGGCAUCACAUUCUAUUUCAAAUGUUUUAGUAAAGUUAGGAAAGGCCAAGAUGGGGACUUUUGUCAAUCUUUCCUUCAAAGUUAUAAAAAGCUUUUUCUUCCUCUUGUCCCCACUUAAAAACCACAUCCUUUUUUACUAUAGCAUUCAAUGGUGCGGAAAUUGUACUAAAGUCAUUCACAAACCUUCUAUAAAAACUAGCAAGGCCAUGAAAGCUUCGUACCCAUUCACAUUGGUGGGUGUAGGCCAAUGUUGAAUUGCUGCAACUUUCGUUUGAUCUACAUGCACCCCUUUAUAAUUUACGAAAAACCCUAUAUGAUAUAAUGCAAAGAAACAUUUAGCAUGAUUAGCAUAUAACUUCUCCUUCCUAAGAGUUUUUAAGACUUGCCUAACAUGUGACUCAUGAUCUUCUAAAGAAAAGCUAUAUAUAAGGAUAUCAUCAAAAUAAACUACAACAAAUUUGAAUGUUCUUAAAACAUGAUGCAUGAGUCACAUGAAGNNNNNNNNNNNNNNNNNNNNNNNNNNNNNNNNNNNNNNNNNNNNNNNNNNNNNNNNNNNNNNNNNNNNNNNNNNNNNNNNNNNNNNNNNNNNNNNNNNNNCAUGACUAACCACUCAUAUAAGCCAAAUUUGGUCUUAAAAGCGGUUUUCCAUUCAUCACCUUGUUUAAUACGAAUUUGAUUGUAACCACUCUUAAGAUCAAUUUUGGAAAAUAUUUUAGACCCAAACAAUUCAUCCAACAAGUCGUUUAACCUAAGGAUGGGAUGCUUAUACUUGAUGGUAAUUUUAUUUAUAGCGCGACAAUCCGUACACAUCCUCCAUGUCCCAUCUUUUUUAGGGACAAGUAUGAUAGUCAUAGCACAUGGGCUCAUGCUAUCUUGUACCCACCUCUUAGCAAUUAAACCCUCAACUUGUUCUUGAAUGUCUUUAGCCUCUUUGGGAUUGGUCCUAUAUGCUGGACGAUUUGGUAAAGAAACCCCGCGCGUGAAGUCGAUUUGAUGUUCAAUCCCUCUUAGAGGUGGUAAGCCUUUAGGAGGAUCUUGAAACACGUCUUCAUAUUCCUUUACCAAGUUAUUCAAACACGUGGGACUAUUCUUAGCCAACUGACAAUCAAUAAUCCUAGGAAUAGCUAAAAAAAUAGGCUUUUGAGCAACUAUUACCUUUUUUAUUUGUUGUGUGGACAUGAGAAGGCUUCUCUUGAAACUUUUUUUUUUAUCAUUUUCUCUCUCUUUUCUCUCAUUUUAACUUGGUCCUCAUGGACUUCCUUUGGAGUGAGAGAUUUAAGUAUGACCUUGUGUCCAUGGAAGUUAAAAGAAAUUUUGCUGGUAAAGCCAUCAUGAAAAACUUUUCUAUCAAAUUGCCAUGGCCUACCUAAAAGAAUAUGUGUGGCUUCAAUUGGUACAACAUCACACAAGACCUCAUCUUUAUAUUUACCAAUAGAAAAUGCAAUAAGGACUUGCUUGAUAACAAUAAUUUCACCUACCUCAGUUAACCAUUGUAAUUUGUAGGGCUUGGCAUGAGAGAUGGUAGACAAUCCAAGCUUAUCUACCACUCUUGUGCUUGCCACAUUAGCACAACUUUCCCCAUCCACAAUUAAAGAGCAUAACCUAUCAUUAAUAAGACAUCUUGCAUGAAAAAUAUUUUCUCUUUGACUUUCAUCAAAGGGUUUCAAAACUUGUCCAAGCAUUUGUCUUAUCACUAAUAGGUCACCUUCAUGUGGACUUUCACUCUCAUGCUCACUUGGGGAUCUAGAAGGUGAGGAACGUCUAGAGUUUUCGGACUCAUGCUCACUAACCACAACCCCAUCAUGCAUAUACAUAUUUCGUUUAGAAGGGGAAUUAGAAGCAAUAUGUCCAUAGCCUAAGCAUUUAAAACAUUUCUUACUAGACGAUUUAGUUGGUGAUUUAGGCGUGGGAAUGGAAGUAGAAGAAUUAGAAUCUCUUGGUUUGAAAGUAGAAUCUUUAGAAGGAAACUUUGAAAAAGAUUUAUUUUUGUUUUUCCAAGAAGAGUGGUAAUAGCCAUCAUUAGAAGAAUUUUUGAAAGCAUUUUUCAUUGCAAUUUGAGAUUCAACUUUGCUAGCAAGGUGAACUAAAGUUUGUAAAGAAGAAUAUUCUUGAAGCUCUACCACAUCUUGAAUGUCCCUUCUAAGACCACUAACAAAUCUAGCCAUCUUAUAGCAUCUUCACUCUCAUUCAUAUUAACUUUAACUAAAAGCGUGUCGAGUUCUUUAAAAUAAUCAUCCACACUUAGCGUGCCUUGAUGAAACCUUUGGAGUUUCAACAAUAGGUCUUUCCUAAAGUGUGGAGGAACAAAUCUAUCUCACAAGCAAGCUUUUAAAUCGUUCCAAGAGACCACAGACGACCUCUUGUUUAGCCCAAUGUCCAUGAGAGUCUGAUGCCACCAUUGCAUGGCAUAGUCUAAGAAUUCUAAAGAUGUUAGUCUAACCCUUUGAUCAUCUAAGACCCCAUGUACAUGAAAAAUUUGCUCAACCUUAGAGGUUGAUGGAUAAGAUCUUCAUGGGAAUGAAACUGUUGUAUAAUUCACUAAAAGUCGGCUAAGCUAAAAGUGGUUUAACAACCUUCAAUCUUUAAUGAGAAUUACCUUCACUUAUAUACUCUAAAUUUACUCUAUCUUUAAUUUAAUUGAUGUGAGAUCUUCGAACUAUAUCUUUAGAAUAACAAAAACUGACUUCUUUACAAUUGUAUCACAUAAGAAUAUCUAUCUCAGUCUCCAUUGGCAUAAUUAGCAGCAAAUUUAAAUGACAGAUGACAUUUAAGAACCCAUCCUUUCGGCAUGGAACUGGAAGACCACCCGUCCGAUGAUCAUAUAUGAAUUCUUCUUCUUCUUCUGCCUUAUAAAGUAAUUCUUGAAAUAAAGGUUGGUUCAUCUAAGAUAAUGGAAUAAAAAACCGUUUCAUCUUAUCUCCAACAUAAAUGCAAGAAAGCCUAUUGGAACUUCAAUCCACUAAAUGAUCUUUGUCUCGUAAUACUCGUUAUGCGGAAACCCGUAACAUUAUAUUCCUCCACGCAACAAAUAAUAUACUGUGAUAACUUGUUUGAGAUUCUUGAAUUCUACAAAGGAGUCUACCAAAACACAGGGAUCACAUGGUGUUGUCUUAGCGAUGGCUUCAAAAGGGUAGGAAUUUCAAUGAUGGACAUGCUUUUGAGAUUAUGGCUAACACAUUUAUCCACUUCAAGUUAAAGACAUCAAGAAGGGUCAAACCAAAUGCUUGUUCAUUGAUUAUCCUACUAUAUAGCUCUUUCAAUGAUGGACAUGCUUGGACAUCUCAUUAAUAAAUGACAGCUAUUGAUGUCAAUCACGUACCCACUUGUAUCAAUCACGUACCCACUUGUAUAAGAGAAGAGAAACCAAUGUCUAAACCGUGAGUUUUCUCAAAUUUAAAUGGAGGUAAGAAGAGAAGUGAAAUUCAAUACAAGUUCAUGCGACACUAUAUAUGAACCAUAGUCUUGAAAACUGACAUCUGAACUUCCAUAAACGAAGCUGGCAGUCCUAUCCAUGCAUAAUCAAUGUCAACAUCAUGCCACUACAUUUUCAUUUUGCCUAUACAUGUGAGACUCCUCUUGGACAUUACCACAUGCCCUUGUCUCUCAGUUGCUCCCAUCACUAUUAUCUCAUAAUCUUUCACCAAUAAUUCAAGUACCCUUCUUACAUAAGCUUUAUCUAUAUAUAUUCACGGUUACAAGCAUUUUGGAACCAACACAAAUCAUUCACAUCUUGAAGAAACAAAAUUCAUAAGCCUCAGCUCUCAAGCUCUUUUCAUACCAUUUUGUUAUCAAGUCUGAGCAAAUAUACAACACAACAAUGGGCUUUCGUUUACCUAGUAUCAGAAGGACAUCAUUCGCAGCAAACCAAACAUCUUCUAAGGGUAUGGAGGUGCCAAAGGGUUAUCUUGCAGUGUACGUUGGAGAGAAAAUGAAGCGAUUUGUGAUCCCCAUAUCAUACUUGAGCCAACCUUCAUUCCAAGACAUGUUGAGUGAAGCAGAGGAAGAGUUUGGAUAUGAUCAUCCCAUGGGUGGUCUUACGAUUCNNNNNNNNNNNNNNNNNNNNNNNNNNNNNNNNNNNNNNNNNNNNNNNNNNNNNNNNNNNNNNNNNNNNNNNNNNNNNNNNNNNNNNNNNNNNNNNNNNNNNNAGGCAUCUUCUCAAUUUGUAAACAUAACUCCUUUUUGAGUAAUAGGAAACACACUAAGAAUAACAUGUUUGCUUCUUUUUAUUUGUUUAAUGACAACGAGUUCAACUAAUCAAAAGGCCCCUCUAUGUUUUCUCUUUUUUAGAUUGCAAAUAUUAACUUCACCCAGUAUAAGCAGGGUUUCUCGCUGUAAAAUAAAAGCAAAACGUGGCUGUCCGAUGAAAUUCAAGGCAUUUAUAGAACACAUGUUUCUUAGCAUUGGAAGAACAACAAUAUAUUACUAGAACCAACGUGAAGGAUUAUCAAUAAUUUAUAUAUUUCCUCAUCCAAUUGAAAGAAGGAACAUAAAAUUACGUGCAAUACAUGAUGAUCUGUUUGCUUUAAGGAUUGCAAACUACUUUCAUUCUUUUUUAAGAACUUGAACUUGGUGACGGGUAGUGGCUUAGUGAAAACAUUUGUAAGGUGAUUUUUAUAAAAGAUAUACACACAAGGCUUCUAGAAGAAGGCUAAUAUCAUUUUUUUUUGUCUUUGCUCAAUUCUUUGUCAUUUCUCGUUGUACUGUUGAAUAAACUUUAAAUGUAAUUUGUGGGUUUUAAAAUUAGAAGUUACUAGAAAAUAGUAGAAUGAGAGUUUGGAUAUGUGAAAGGUCAAAAGUUGUGAGUGAGAUUUUAAUUAUGUUGUUAGUGGGAUUUUAAGGCCAUAAUGAAGAUUUUUCUAAAAGAGCUUCCUAAAGCCUAUAAAUAGGAUGCUCUCUCAGUUGUAAUAUGCACCAUAGAAAGAAAUACAAUAGAGAGAAAUACAAGAAGAAAAGUGUUUCUUUAGAGAAAAUCCAAGUGUGAGUGGUUGUCUGUUUUUCAAUUUGGUAUCAAGAGUCAAUGGCAAAUGUGACGGGUCAAAUACCGCUACCACGGUUAACGAAGACGACCAAAUAUGAUAACUAGAGCAUUCAAAUGAAACCUCUUCUCGGUUAUCAAGAUGAGUGGGAGGUGGUCGAAGAAGGUUUCGAAGAACCAAUAAAUUCCGCGGGUUAUACGACGGCUCAAACCAAGGCAUUGAAAGAGAUGCGAUCAAAAGAUAAGGCGACACUAUACAUGUUGUUUCGAGCGGUUGAUGAGUCGAGCUUUGAGAAGAUUGUUAAUGCAACUACAUCAAAAGAAGCGUGGGACAUCUUAAAAAAGGUGUUCAAAGGAGCCGACCGAGUCAAGCAAGUGCGUCUACAAACUCUUCGUGGUGAGUUAAAGAGCAUGAAGAUGAUGGAUUCAUAAAGUGUAUCUGACUACAUCACGCGAAUACAGACUGUGGUGAAUCAACUCAACCGAAAUGGUGAAACGUUGACCGAUGCAUGAGUUGUGGAGAAGAUUUUGAGAACAUUAACCGACAAUUUUGAGAGCAUUGUGUGUGCGAUAGAAGAGUCAAAGGACCUAACGACGCUCACAGUCGACGAGUUCGUUGGUUUUCUCGAGGCACACGAGCAACGAAAGAAGAAGAAGAAGGAGGAAAGACUCGAGCAAGUACUUCGAACCAAGGCGUCGAUAAAAAACGAAAACGUACUCUAUCAUCAAAAUUCUCGAAGUAGAGGACAUGAUGGAGAUCAGGGCCAAGGACAAAUAGAAGCCAAUCAACAAGGACAAGAAGAGGAAGAGGAUCAAGAGGUAGAUGCGCAAGACGUUAUUCAUCCUCCUCAAAGGCUUACAAGAAGCAUGUUCAAGGCCUUAGGAAAUAAUGGACAAUUAUUUUCUUUAUUUGUGAUAUCUUUGGUAGAUGGUGCUUAAGAGGGAAACAUAAGAAACCUCUUUUGUAAAAGCAUCCUUAUUUGUAGUUUAGAAAUAUUAGAAGCUUAGGGGGGUGUGAACUUAGUAAGGGAUGCUAGGGGGAGUGUAGAUAUGAGUUAGGAGGUGCCAAACUAGGAAGGAAAGUCACACUUCCUUCAUGCACUAGUUGGCGCCGAAGUUACAUGUCAUUUAGGGGCACAUUUGCAUUUGAUUAGCUUUGCAUUUCAGCACCUUAUAGGCUAUAAAUAAAGGUGCUUAGCUUGUACAAAUCAGAUUUGGAAUUUGAAGUAAGAAAACUCUACUCAAUUUGAGAGAGAAAUUGGAAGAGCUUUGGUGCCUUCAUCAAGUCUUAUCUUGGGUGUCAAUGGUGAACCUCAAGUGGCGGCAACACACUAAUCUUGGAGUAUCCACACUCUAAGUGGCGUGAUCACUCACCUAUUCUUCCAUCUCCAUAAGUUUUCUAUUCUCAUUCUUUGUUUCUUCUUCAUGUUCAUGUUCUAGCUUACUUGUUCUUCAAUUCUGUUCGGUGCCUUUGCUGUAUUUUCAAUUCUGUUUGGUAUUUUCCUUUCAUUGGCUGAAUUCAAUUGUUGUUUCUUCAAUUCUUGUGGUUGUGAUUCAAUUUGACAAUACAUGGACUUCCAUGUGAGCUUUGGUUCGGUGCAAAGUCUUGGUGAGUUUUGAAGUAUAACUUGAUGCAAUUCUAACUAAAGUGCCAAUUCAUGACCAACUCAAGUUGUUCCUAAGAAUGUCAAAGAAUCAUGUAUUCUUGCUAUUGCAUUCACAUCAGGACAUGUUUGGAAAUUGUGGAAACGGUCAAGGUGGUAAAGGCAGUAGUCAUGAAGGGUACUAUAAGGAGAAGGAACAGUAGAGCCAACCAAAUUGGCGUUGAAGAGGACGUGGUCGAGGAAGAGGCAGACGAUCAAAUUACUCCAACAUCGAGUGCUACAAAUGUCACAAAUAGGGUCACUAUGUGAAGGAUUGCAACUCCGACAAAUGUUAUAAUUGUGAUAAAGUGGGGCAUUUUGCUAUAUAAAGAUAGAAGAGGCCACCAACCUAGCCUUGGAAGAUGAAACGAAUGAAGGUGUUCUCUUGAUGGCUCAAGAUGAAGUCAACAUUAAUAGUGACACUCUGUGGCACCUCGACUCGGGAGCAAGCAACCAUAUGUGCGCUCAUAAUUACCUAUUCAAAGAGAUGCAAAAGAUUGAAGAUGGUCAUGUGUCAUUUGGAGAUGCAUCAAAUGUGGAGGUCAAAGGCUGAGGUACGGUUCGGUACUUACAAAAAGAUGGCUAAUUGGGUCACUCCAAGAUGUUUAUUACGUACCAGACCUCAUGACCAACAUUUUGAGUAUAGGGCAACUCACGAAGAAAGGUUACUCAAUAUUUUUAAAAGAUCGGCUACUACACUUGAAGAACAAGCAAGGGCGUUUGGUUGCGAUAAUCGAGACGAUAAGAAAUCAUAUGUACAAGUUAAAUUUAAGAAGCAUACUAGAAAAAUGUUUGGAAGUCAACAUUGAAGAUAAGGCAUCGUUAUGGCAUCUUCAUCAUUGGUCACCUACAUCAUUGUGGUUUAAAAGAGUUAGCGAAGAAGAAUAUGGUGCACAGGCUACCCAACAUGGACUACGAGGGAAAAUUUUGUGAAGAAUGUGUGCUCAGCAAGCAUGUGAGAACCUCGUUUCCAAAGAAGGCUCAAUAUUCGGCUAAGAAACCUCUCAAAUUGAUUCAUAUCGACAUAUGUGGACCAAUUACUCCAAAAUCCUUUAGCGGUAAAAGGUAUUUCAUUACUUUUAUCGAUGAUUUCUCACAAAAAGCUUGGGUUUAUUUUCUAAAGGAAAAAUCCGAGGCAUUCGAGGUGUUAAAAAAGUUCAAGGUGAUGGUGGAAAAGACAACUGAUAGACAAAUCAAAGUUGUACGAUUCGAUAGAGGUGGCGAGUAUGCUUCGACGACUUUCAUGAAGUAUUGCAAGGAGCAAGGCAUAAGGCGAUUUCUAACUGCACCGUACACUCCUCAACAAAAUGGUGUGGCCAAGAGGAAGAACCAGACCAUUCUCUACAUGGUUCGAUCAAUGCUUAAGAGAAAAAGAUGCCAAAGGAAUUGUGGGCGGUAGUUGUGCAAUUCGCCAUCUAUGUGCAAAACCAAUGUCCACAUGUGAAGUUAGAUGAUCAAACACCACAAGAGGCUUGGAGCGGACAAAAGCCAACAAUUUCUCAUCUCAAAGUGUUUAGUAGUGUGGCUUAUGCACAUAUACCAGACCGACGAAGAACAAAGCUUGAAGACAAAAGGAAAAGGUAUAUUUUUAUUGGGUAUGAUGAGAAGACAAAAGGAUACAAGCUCUUUGAUCCGAUAAGCAAAAAGGUGAUGGUGAGUCGUGAUAUGGGAAUAAAUGAAGCAAGCGAGUGGGAUUGGAACAAUUAUUAAGAGGUUAUGAUUGAGGUUGGAGAAUCAUUAGUCGUUGCACCGACAAGUAUAAAUUCCAAAACUACUGAUGAUGAAAACGAACCACGACAACCUAAAAUGCGAAGUUUUGCAAAAUUUGUAUGAUUCGACUAAUGAGGUACAUCUUGUAUGUCUUUUGGCAGUUGCAGAAAAUAUCAGCUUUGAAGAGGCGGUGCUAGACAAGAAGUGGCAAACUGCCAUGGAUGAGGAGAUUAAAGCGAUUGACCACAACAACAUAUGGGAGUUAACAUAAUUGCUAGAGGGAAGUAAGCCCAUUGGUGUGAAGUGGGUAUUCAAGAAAAAGAUGAAUGCUCAAGGCGAGAUAGAGAGGAACAAGGCACGACUCGUUGUGAAGGGAUACAAACAAAAGGAGGGAAUUGACUACGAUGAGGUGUUUGCUCUGUUAUAAGAAUGGAGAUGAUUCGGUUGCUUAUUUCCCAAGCGACUCAAUUUAAAUGGCUGAUAUUUAAAAUGGACGUCAAGUCGGCAUUCUUGAAUGGUGUGCUUGAAGAAGAAGUCUACAUCGGACAACCACUUGGGUACAUGAAAAUCGGAGAAGAGAAGAACGCACUUUACAGGUUGAAACAAGCACCGCGGGCAUGGAAUACUCGUAUCGAUACAUACUUCAAGGAGAACGAGUUCAAGCAAUGUUCUUACGAGCAGGCUCUUUACGCAAAGAACCGUGGAGGUAACAUGAUAUUUGUUGCUCUUUAUGUUGAUGAUCUCAUUUUUAUGGGUAACAAUAAUGAGAUGAUAGAAGAGUUUAAAGGCAGAAUGUGACAAAAUUUGACAUGACAAAUUUGGAAUUGAUGAAGUUUUUCCUUGGUUUGGAGGUUAGACAAAAAGAAACGAGUAUUUUUGUAUCAAAAAAGAUUUUGAAGAAGUACAAGAUGGCAAAUUGCAACCCAAUCUCAAUACCAAUGGAACCAGGUUCAAAACUCUCAAAGUUCGAUGGAGGAGAACGUGUCGAUGCAAGUAUAUACCGGAGUUUGGUAGGAACCCUUCAUUAUCUCACAUGCACGAGGUCAUAUCUUUCAUUAAGUGUCAACAUCAUAAGCCGAUUCAUGGAGGAACCGAUUCUCUCACAUUGGAAGGCGUUGAAGCGAGUCCUACGUUACAUCCAAGGUACUGUAUCACUCGAAUUGUUCUACUCGAAAGCAGAAGAUUACAAGUUGGUGGGUUAGUCUAACAGCGAUUGGUGUGGAGACAUAGAUGAUCAGAAAGUACAUCGGGAUAUGUAUUCUUUAUAGGCAACACAAUAUUUUCUUGGCUUUCAAAGAAGCAAUCGAUCGUGACGCUAUCGACGAGUGAAGCUGANNNNNNNNNNNNNNNNNNNNNNNNNNNNNNNNNNNNNNNNNNNNNNNNNNNNNNNNNNNNNNNNNNNNNNNNNNNNNNNNNNNNNNNNNNNNNNNNNNNNCAUCUUGGUGUGUACAUCAUGCGAUAUGGCUUACAAACUUGUUAAGCAAGAUGGAGCUAAAACAACCAACUGCAACCGUGAUUCAAGUUGACAACAAAUCAGCAAUUGAGUUGGCAAAGAACCCAAUGAAAGAAGCAAACACAUUAACGUUCAUUUUCACUUUAUCCGUGAUCAUGUGAAGAAAGAAUGUGUGGAAUUGGUGCAUGUGGCAAGUCAGGAUCAAGUUGCGGAUAUCUUCCCAAAAACGCUACCGAAAAUACUUUUUGACAAAUAAAAGAAUAGGAUUGACAUGAUGGAUGGUAGAAACAUUUAAGUUAAUUAGAAGUUACUAGAAAAUAGUAGAAUGAGAGUUUGGAUACAUGAAAGGUCAAAAGUUGUGAGUGGGAUUUUAAUUAUGUUGUUAGUGGGGUUUUAAGGAUACAAUGAAGUUUUUUCUAGUAGAACUUCCUAAAGCCUAUAAAUAGGAUGCUCUCUCAGUUGUAAUAUGCACUACAAAAAGAAAUACAAUAGAGAGAAAUACAAGAAGAAGAGUGUUUCUUUAGAGAAAAUCCAAGUGUGAGUGGUUGUCUGUUUUUCAUGUACAAGUGUUUAGUCUUUAUUUUAUUUUUUUUUGGUUCCUCUCUUUGUACAUUGGUUUUUUUUUUGUUUUAAAUUCUCUCUUUAGCUAGACCAAUGAGUGUACUGUUUGUAUAUAUUUAGAGCCUAUGCAUUGAAUUCAGUAAAACCCUAAAAGAAAUAUUCAUUCUCAUAUCAUUUGCCUUCCUUUCUCUCUUUUGUGUUAAGCAUUAAACCAAAAGUCGUCACCAAUUUUGUUUUCAAAUUUGAAUGGUCAAUAAUUAUAACCUUUAAUUCAAGUUUUAAAUGUCAGUUAUAGUAUGAUUUUGAAUGUAAUUUAUAAUAUAGGAUUUUUCAUAAAAGAUGAGAGUAUGGAUUAUCACUAUUGUAGCUUGGUGUUGUCAGUAAGGAUAUCUAUGAUUUCCUCCUGUUCCAUGUUAAGGUCAAUUAAAUAUUCAGAUUCUAGAUGUCUAACCAUUGUAUAAUAUCUUUAAGAGAGUUUUCGUGAUAACAAACACUUGCACAAGUCAAAGACUUGGUACUGCUUUACGUUAAAGAGAUCGUAAGAGAUCAGAGGGGGAGCCCUGUUGACAAUAUACUAUUCUCUGAACAACGUUGAGAACGGGUCGAAUGAAGUAAUGUGUUCGUCGGGGAGACUGACAAACACAUAAAUAGCUUACAGUACACGGCAUCAGAACCUCCUGAAAGCAUCAUCUGGGUAUAGAACGCCGUGAUAUGCGCUUCAGGGUCCUCUACUCCUGUGAAGGUGACCUUCGGGCCCAAGGACGUGGCUAGUAUCAUGGUGUCCAUGAUCACCUGAGAGAACGACAUGGGGGCAGCCUUAACUGGCAGCGGCGGGGCUCGCUUAUCCACAAUACGUUCUCCUACGUUCUACAAAUUCCUACGCAGCUCCUCAUUGGUUAUGCGCAGCUCUUCAUUGUUUGCUUGCGAUCUGGCCAGAUCAACCUGGAAAUGAUCCUGGUCGACUCUGGACGUUGCUACUGCCUCUUGAAGGGCGCAUAUGGUCUCCAUGAGCUGCUGCAUGGAGACGUUGUCCCCUCCUGAGGGCGCAGCAGAUCCUUGUCUCGUGCUCUUCAUGUUGCUGGUGGCUUUCAGCACGAUUGCGGAUGGGACCUAGUUUUAUCGAGCCCCACAAUGGGCACCAAAUGUUCUCGCCGGUUGACCUAAUAUCCGGUUGACACUACAAAAAAACGUGUAUAUUGCGGCGGUUAUUUUCGCAAAAACUGGCGUUUUUAACCGCCGCAUUAUACGUCUGUGGCGGUACCGCGUACUGCCAGAAUUCUUGCCGCCACAAAGUUUAAUGUGGCGGUCAAUUGAGAACCGUUGUAGCAGACGCCAUAUUACGCAUUGUAUAAAGCGGCGAUUUUAAGGGUGUAAUUGGCGUCAGUUAUAAAUAUCGUAAUUUUAAAGCUGGGUAAACCAAUUCUAAUGUAAAUAGUGGCAGUUUUAACCGCCACUUAAUACAGUAUAGUAUGACAUUUAUAAUACACUUUAUAACUGUCAUAAUUCGAAUAUUAAAUAUUUAAUUUUAUUUUUAAUAUUUAUAAUAAUUUAUUUAAUUUUAUUUUAUAAUUUGAUUUCAUAAUAUUAUUUAAUUUCGUAUUAUAAUUAAACUUUAAUUUUAUUUUUAAAAUUUAUAAUAAUUUAUUUAAUUCUAUUUUAUAAUUUGAUUUUAUAAUAUUAAUUAAUUUGAUAUUAUGUUUCAUAAUAUAAUUAAAAUUGAUAAAUAUAAUAAUCAAAAGAUGAGUUCAUUCAUUCAUUGAAAGAACAAAGUUCAUAAUGUCAAAUUAAUACAAACAACAAGUAAAUUAAAUUGUCAAAAUAUAAAUUGUUUCACUUUCUAAACAUAUUACAAGUAAAUUCUCAAUACUAAUUUGUCUUACUCCUUCCACUCGAUCUUAUAUUCUGGUUUGGUGAUGGAGCACCACUAGCAACAUCCGGUGCCUGAAAUAAGUUAAAAUAUGUUUAAAGUUAAUUGACAAUUUUUAAAAAAUAAAUGAAAACAAUAUUAUAAUAAAAUUUUAAGUAUAGUAAUUUAUAGAAGCACAUUAUACAAGCAAUCUGUAAUCUUCAUCAUAGGAUCCCACCUUGUCUCUAUUGUUAUCACCAAACCUGUCACCAUCUCUAGAUCCAAAGCCUCCAUACUUACCACUGCUCUGAAACUCCAAUGUACCUACAUUGAGCACCCAAAAGAAAAAUAAGAAAAUUAUUUUAUGACUACACAUUCUAUUGUAGUAGUUUGUUGACCUGAUAAUUCUAGGAUGAAAAUAUUGACAAAUUUGACCUACUUGUCACGAUUUGUAGCAACUUUAUUUUUGACAUCAUGUAUCUUAUAUUAUACCUAUCAUUCAAAAGGGACACAAUGUUUUCAUCCUUUUUCCUUGCAUUGAGUCCUACGUCCUUCCCACUUGGCUCAACAUAUUCAAAACUAGAAAGUGCCUUAACCAAUCCAAAGUAAAUUAAGAUAACAUCAGAAAAUACUCUUUUAUUUUACUGGUCAACAGAGUUGUUAAUUGCAAGCAUGAAAUUAGCUAAAUACAAGAGAAUUUCCCUUACUGGAAAAUGAAAAGUAUGUUCUAUAAUGUCGUCAACUGCACGUUCACAUCCAUGUGCUACCAAAUACUCGAUAAUCGCUAACGCCUGAAUUAACAUAAUUCAAGUUAUUGAAAGAAAAGCAAAUUGUAUGUAUCAACACAAAAAAUACCUCCAAAAAGCCUUUUCUUUGUAUCUUAAAAUCUUAGGAAAUGACAUGAUUAUUUGGAAGGCAUUACCUUGUAUACAUAUCUCCAAUCUUUUCCAGUUUCGCCCAGUCUUGUCCAAAGGACAUUCAUGGCCAUUUGACAUUCAGUAGCAGUAUAGAAGAGAAGCAAUAAUUUAGUAGAACAAGUAUCAGAAAUUUUCUCAAAAUACAAAAACAAAAAAACAAACAAUAAAAGUAAUAUAACCGGAAAAAAAGAUAGAUAGAUAGUUGUUUACAAUUUUUUGGUAGCCGGGGAAAUCUCUGCCAGUGCAGUACCAUGACGACCCCAAGGUUCAUUAUCAGUUGCAUCGAGCACCUAAUUUGUGAAAAAUGGUAAAACAGUCAAUAAAAUAAUACAGUGGCCAAUACUAGUAUUAUUGGUAUCAAGUAAUACUUUAUAGUUUGUAAAUAUAUAAAAUCUGGCAGUCCAACACAAUGGCAUCAACAAAUUAUUCAAAAAUUACUUGAUAAUAGGUAGAGAACAUUUUCUCUUUUCAAUCCAUCCUUAAAACACAAAUUGAUGAUUUUAGAAUUGUUCUGCACCCUAAAUCUCCUUAAGUUUCUUCUCAUAAAACAUUUGUAUCACAUCAAAAUUUAAUGUUAACACUUUCCAUGAUUCCUGAAAGGGGAAAUAGUUAAUGCAUGAAUGUAUAAAUCUCCGUGUACUAGUAAGAAAUGAUCUAUCUAACUCUUCUCUACAAACCUUGAAAGAGAACAAACUAGUGUUCAACAUCAAUAUAUGUUUCCUACAAAUUAUAUCUACCACAUAAUAAGUUGAAUAAACAAGUUUUAAACUAGUAGAAUUUUUUCGAACUGAUUGAAAAGUAUUUGGUGAAAGUGUCUAUUUGUCAAAACUUUCUAAUCAAUUUCUCUUCCCAUAUUGGUGAUAAAAAAAUCUCUUCCCAUAACACGUUUUAAUUUAAAAUUUAUUAACGAGAUGAAUUUAAAAAUACUCAUACCAAUAAUAUUCAAUGAAUUAAAAUUAAUUUUCACAAAUCUUAAAACAAAAUACCCAUGAAACAAGAAGAACCCUCUCUGUGUAACCCCCAAAAUUUGACAAAGGUUUAAAAAGUACCCAAUAAACCUUAUGAUAUAAUCGUAAAUCUAGUUAUGCACUACAAAUCACUAUUUAUAAACUGACAAAUGGACCUAACAUGAAAUUCUAAAAGCUAACAUAACUUUUGCAUCCAAAUUGAAUAAUCUCCCCUAAGUGUCACCUAAUAGUUCUGCAAAUAGUCAAAGCUCAAAGGCUGUUGGUUUUUUAAAUGGCCACCAUCCAACUGGCGUUCUUAUCCUUACAGGGUGGGAUACAACACAACCAAUUCCUAACAAGCCGGUCUUUUCUUGACUCCCAAAAUUUAAUAAAAAAACAUUAAUUUAAAGUAUAUUUCUUUGAAUUGUCUUAUUUGCAAUUUCAAUUUUUCAUCAAUGGAGAAUCAAUUUUAGAAACCCCACGAGCUCAUUCAACUCCCAAUAUGAUCCAAGUGGUUUCCAAUGGACCCCUUCUACAGUACUUGAUAAUAUUACUCGUCACCCCUAUUUUUUUUCAUCCAGCUUAGCUAUUAUAGUUUUAAACCCACUGCGUCUUUGAAGAAAACACCAAUGUACUUAACUACACACAGCUAUGUAAGCACUUUUGUUACUCUAAUAAUAUUAAUUAACUAUCUUGUCACAUAUAUUAAUUAUAAUCUCCAGCAAAAAAACCCAACAUUAUUAAAAAUGAUGCCUAUAGAGAAUAUAACCCAAUAACACCCGUCACUCAGUUGAAUCCAAUAAUAUCUUAUAAAACGGUUUUUCAAAACUUAUAAAACAUGUGCUAAUAUCUUAAUAAUAUCGUUACGAAUAGCUACAAUAGAAACAACAUUCAACAUCGAUGCACAAAACUUGACAGUGAAAUCGUAGAGCAUAACAUUCAACAUCCACAAAAAAGAAAAAGAAAAAUAAAUUGAUAGACAAAUUGUGUACCUGCAGCAUUCAACAUCCACAAAAAAAGAAAAAGAAAAAUAAAUUGAUAGACAAAUCGUGUACCUGCAGCUAGCGAAAUUGUAGAGUUUUCCGGUGUUGGAGAAAAUCAUAACUCCGACUUCAGCAUCGCACAAGAUCGCAAGUUGUUUCGCCUUCUUCAGCAAACCAUUCCUUCGCUUCGAGAAGGUGACUUCCUGUCCCCAUACCAAACCCUAACAAUCAGAUUCUUCCGAUUCAGAAAAGCACUCGCUGUAAAACAGAUCCACACACAAAACUUCAAUUAGAUGAAGAAGAAAAAAAAAUAAAAAGCGAAAAUCAAAACAACGCGGUUGCGAAAGAGAAAAUAGAAGACGGUUGGAUCCACAUGUUGUGGUGACGAAGGAAGACCAAUUUAGUAACUAACUAAUUAAUAAGUUAAACAAAGAAUUUUGGGAAUAGGUUUUUAAAGGAUUUUCAAAAAUUUGGGAGAAUCAGGGGAAUGUAGGAAGCGAACGAGUAACUUGCAGAGAUGAUGGAGAGUGGAGAGUGAAAAAAGAGCGAGAAAACGGGAUUGUUUCAAAAAACUCUACCUCAAACGGAGCCGAUGGUGGAUUUGGUAGAGAGAAAAUGGUGAGUGGCGGAGAGAAGAGCGAGAAGAUGGUGGAUGUGGCAGAGAGAAGAACAACAGAGAGAAGACGUGAGUGAGUGAAGUAGGUGAGGGUUUCACAAUGAGGUGCGCUAGUGAGUGAAGCGGGUGAGGGUUUCGCAAGGAGGGUUUUCACGAAGGCUUAACGUGAGGAGUUUUCGACCAGGAUUUCAUUAGGGUUCGACGCAGAGAGAAAGGAGGAGAGAGGGAAAAGUCACAAAUGAGGUUUUCAAAAACAACAUUAGGGUUCCUGAAUAGUGAAACUAAAUUUUAAAAAAAAUAAUUGGAAAUAAUAAGGCGGAUAAUUGUGGCGGUUCAAACUGACAUAUUCUGAAGGAUAAUUAUGACAGUUAGUUAAAUGUCAUAUUAUACGGAAAUUUGUGACAGUUAUUAAUAACCGCCAUAUUAAAACUGCCACUUUAUACAUAAUUUUUUGUAGUGUGACUCGAACGACAGUCUCCGCUUGAGAAUCGAACCUUCUUAGGUUUAAGGACGUUUUCCUGCAAAGACAAAAGGGCGCCCUAGCGGCCGUUAAAAGGGCGCCCUAGCGACCGUUUGCACUCCGACACUAAUGUGUAUAAGCAGUUUCAAUCUUAGAAACGGCGUACCUUGCUAGGGUUCUUACCACCCUAUUUAUAGGUUGUAUCUAGGGUUACUUCUACUACGCUCCCACAUCUCUUAAUGGGCUUAGGGUUCCUGGGAGAAUGUCCUUGCGCCGCUAUCACACAAUCUUAGCGUAAUCUGGCGCAUAGGACUUCCCUUUCCUGGAUUGCAAAGACUUAACAGCGUAGCCGCCAAGUACCUAUUCACGUACCAGCGCUUGCGGCAUCAUCUGUUAUGCGGGUCACGUGUCAUGCAUGCAGUCUUUCCCUAGAAACCCUAACCCUAACAGGCCUUAGCAAAUGUAACAUACACACCCCUUGCAUGAUUCUCUCGUGACUUAGGUUUCUUUUGGUAUCGGGAGGUUUCUUUUGGUAUCGGGAUGUUAACCCAUGUUAACUCAUGCAAUAUGUGGGACCCAGCUUACGUAUGUCCGAUGUCUUUCUCUCAGACGGAUGACUAAUGUUUGGCCUGUACAAAAAUACAUAACUGGUUGAAGUAACUACAUUUGAAAUAAGAGAUCCGUGUAGUUGUGUGGUUUCAUUAGGAAAAAUGAAGAAUGAACGGCCAUUGGAGAAUGUAUUUUCUAAAUUUCUUAUGACCAAUUAUUUCAAGUUGUUAUACUAAUGCUUGCAGUUUCGUUUCGGUAGACUAUACGUAUAUUGCAGUAUUAAAUUUUUAUUAAGGAACAAAUGUAACAAAAAAUACAUAACUGGUUGAAGUCAGUACUUUUGAAUAAGAGAUCCGUGUAUAGUUGUGUGGCUUAAUUAGGAAAAACAGAAGAAAGAACGGCCAUUGGAGAAUGUAUAGUUAGAAACAGUAUAAUUUAGAUCAAUAUCUAUGAAAUAAUAGCUGCACCGAAUUUCCUGAUAUAUAUCAACUAAACUUGAUUGAUAUUAAUAAAGAAUGUUUUGUAAAAACUUUCUCUUCAUUGUAACAUCAUUUUACUUUCAAAUUACAAACUAAAAUAGAAAAAAUUUAAAAUGGAAGUUCCUUCUGUACAAAGUUGCCUCAGUUAAUCUAUGAUCUAGCUCAGUCUCCCUAAGGUCCAGCCUGCUAGAGUGAUUUACAAACUUGUCUCAUCUAACAUUAUCUUCUAUUUGCUUCCUCUAAGAUUAUCUAUCUCAGGUUCUCCAUGAAAAUGCUUUACAACUGAUUGAAGUGAGAGAUGAUAUUUAGGAACUCAUCCUCCUGGCAUGGAAUUGUGAGAGCACCCUUUGGAUGAUCAUAUCCAAAUUCUUCUUCUGCUUUACUAAGCAAUUCUUGAAAUGAAGGCUGGUUCAAGUAUGAUACUGGAAUCACACACCGCCUCAUUUCAUCUCCAACAUAAACUGCAAUAUAGCCCUUUGGUACUUCACCCCCCUUGGAGGCCACUUGGAUUGUAGAAACUGAUGCUCGUCUAAGAAUACCUUUUAUGCGGAAACCCAUUGUUUUAUCUUUCUUCACUCCACAAAGAAUAUAUUGAUGUUAGAGGAUUUGUGUAUGAAAGAAAUUUUUAACUUGUAUUACUUGAGGAAUGCAAUCAGUUGUGGUGCUUGAAACCCAAACAAGUACUGCAUAUAUAGUUUCCAAAUGCCCUCUGCUAACUCAUACACCUCAAUUAUUGAUCUUUUGAUUGUCUACAAUGGAUUCAACCAAGAGACAAGAUCACAAGGUGUUGUCUUAGAUAUCUCCUUCAAGGACUUGGCAAUUCAAUGGGACUACUUACCCCGCCUUUUUAGAUUCUAGCCAACAGAUUUACCCCCUUCAAAUUAAAAUUGAAAGCAAUGCUUAUUCAUGAGUUAUGAUUCUACAGCUAUUUCAAUGAUCGACAUGCUUUAGACAUCUCACAUGCAUCGCCAUGUGUACACUAAAUUGAAUUGGAGGUUAGAAGAGAAGCAAUAUUGAACGCAUCUUCACGGUGCCCUAUGAACCACACUCUUUCUGUGUCUGGCAAAUUUGAGAACAACCAUUUCAACUUCCAUAAAUGAAAUUCCUCUCGCCAAAUAAUUGUCAAUAUCAUGGCGCAUUAGAUUUUUUUUUUCACACAUAUACUUCUAAGAGUCCUAUGGACAUUACCACAUGCCCUUGUCUAGCAGUUGGCCCAUGACUAUUAUCUCAUAAUCUUUCACCAAUAAUUCAAGUACCCUUCUUACAUAAGCUUUAUCUAUAUAUAUAUUCACCGUUGCAAGCAUUUUAGAACCAACACAAAUCAUUCACAUCCUGAAGUAACAAAAUUCAUAAGCCUCAACUCUCAAGCUCUAUUCGUACCAUUUUGUUAUCAAGUCUGAGCAAAUAUACAACACAAGAAUGGGCUUUCGUUUACCUAGUAUCAGAAGGACAUCAUUCGCAGCAAACCAAACAUCUUCUAAGAGUAUGGAGGUGCCAAAGGGUUAUCUUGCAGUGUACGUUGGAGAGAAAAUGAAGCGAUUUGUGAUCCCCAUAUCAUACUUGAUCCAACCUUCAUUCCAGGACAUGUUGAGUGAAGUAGAGGAAGAGUUUGGAUAUGAUCAUCCCAUGGGUGGUCUUACGAUUCCUUGCAGUGAAGAUGUCUUCCAAAGCACAACUUCACACUUGAAUAGACAUUAAGUCUGGUAAUAUAGAAGUCUGACACAGAAUUGAAGAGCCAUUUUGUUAUAGGCAUCUUCUCAAUUUGUAAAUAUAACUCCUUUUUGAGUAUAGGAAAAAUGCGAUCAUAGUA